CUGAUCCUGACCUGACCUCCUCCUGACCCUGUCAGCCGUCGCCAGAGUGCCUGAGCUGAGGAGAGAAGAAGGAAGAUUCUGAAGCAUCGGCUGUGUCCCUGGCUGGUCUGAACAGAUUCCUGGUAACUGGCAAAAACUUCUGUUUUGUGAAUACAGUCUAAGUUCAGAAAGUAAAGCUACCAUUACCAGUAAAUCCCGGAAUAUCUGCCUUACAUCUUGCCAAGGAUCUAGAUCGCGGUGAAGCAAGCUGGG